AUGAACGCUAGCUACAGGCUUAACACAUGCAAGUCGAGGGGCAGCAUGAACUUAGCUUGCUAAGUUUGAUGGCGACCGGCGCACGGGUGAGUAACACGUAUCCAACCUGCCGAUGACUCGGGGAUAGCCUUUCGAAAGAAAGAUUAAUACCCGAUGGCAUAGUUCUUCCGCAUGGUAGAACUAUUAAAGAAUUUCGGUCAUCGAUGGGGAUGCGUUCCAUUAGGUUGUUGGCGGGGUAACGGCCCACCAAGCCUUCGAUGGAUAGGGGUUCUGAGAGGAAGGUCCCCCACAUUGGAACUGAGACACGGUCCAAACUCCUACGGGAGGCAGCAGUGAGGAAUAUUGGUCAAUGGACGAGAGUCUGAACCAGCCAAGUAGCGUGAAGGAUGACUGCCCUAUGGGUUGUAAACUUCUUUUAUACGGGAAUAAAGUGAGGCACGUGUGCCUUUUUGUAUGUACCGUAUGAAUAAGGAUCGGCUAACUCCGUGCCAGCAGCCGCGGUAAUACGGAGGAUCCGAGCGUUAUCCGGAUUUAUUGGGUUUAAAGGGAGCGUAGGCGGACGCUUAAGUCAGUUGUGAAAGUUUGCGGCUCAACCGUAAAAUUGCAGUUGAUACUGGGUGUCUUGAGUACAGUAGAGGCAGGCGGAAUUCGUGGUGUAGCGGUGAAAUGCUUAGAUAUCACGAAGAACUCCGAUUGCGAAGGCAGCCUGCUGGACUGUAACUGACGCUGAUGCUCGAAAGUGUGGGUAUCAAACAGGAUUAGAUACCCUGGUAGUCCACACAGUAAACGAUGAAUACUCGCUGUUUGCGAUAUACAGUAAGCGGCCAAGCGAAAGCGUUAAGUAUUCCACCUGGGGAGUACGCCGGCAACGGUAAAACUCAAAGGAAUUGACGGGGGCCCGCACAAGCGGAGGAACAUGUGGUUUAAUUCGAUGAUACGCGAGGAACCUUACCCGGGCUUGAAUUGCAACUGAAUGAUGUGGAGACAUGUCAGCCGCAAGGCAGUUGUGAAGGUGCUGCAUGGUUGUCGUCAGCUCGUGCCGUGAGGUGUCGGCUUAAGUGCCAUAACGAGCGCAACCCUUAUCGAUAGUUACCAUCAGGUUAUGCUGGGGACUCUGUCGAGACUGCCGUCGUAAGAUGUGAGGAAGGUGGGGAUGACGUCAAAUCAGCACGGCCCUUACGUCCGGGGCUACACACGUGUUACAAUGGGGGGUACAGAAGGCAGCUACACGGCGACGUGAUGCUAAUCCCGAAAGCCUCUCUCAGUUCGGAUUGGAGUCUGCAACCCGACUCCAUGAAGCUGGAUUCGCUAGUAAUCGCGCAUCAGCCACGGCGCGGUGAAUACGUUCCCGGGCCUUGUACACACCGCCCGUCACACCACGAAAGUUGGUAACACCCGAAGCCGGUGAGGUAACCUAUUAGGAGCCAGCCGUCUAAGGUGGGGCCGAUGAUUGGGGUG
rnacentral:rRNA from 1 species